rnacentral:rRNA from 1 species
UUGGCGAACGGGUGAGUAACACGUGAGCAACCUGCCCUAUACAACGGGAUAACACAGAGAAAUUUGUGCUAAUACGGUAUAAGACCACAGUAUCGCAUGAUACAGGGGUAAAAGAUUUAUCGGUAUAGGAUGGGCUCGCGACCCAUUAGCUAGUUGGUGAGGUAACGGCCCACCAAGGCAACGAUGGGUAGCCGACCUGAGAGGGUGAUCGGCCACACUGGGACUGAGACACGGCCCAGACUCCUACGGAAGGCAGCAG